rnacentral:sRNA from 12 species
GCCAGCUUAAACAUGAUUACCUCGGUGUAGAGAGGUUUUUCAGCCUUGCCGAGAUGUGCAGUAACGAGAUAGAUAAAUUCGGGAUACUGGAUUUAUUGAUUCUUUCCUCAGAGAGUGAUCCUGCGGAGAAGAUGGAAACCGUCAACAAUGCUGUGCAGUGUAUCAUCAUAGAGAAAAUCAAAAGCAGAAUCCUUGUGGUCGGCGUAGAAAAGACGCUUACGGUGUAAGAAUAAUCCAUUGAUGUCGGCAGUGUGAGAGACUACGGACUAAAUGGAACUCUAAAAGAAGUCGAUUUGCCUUGAACCUGAGAAAUCGGGGUAUAACACAAGAAAUUCGUUAAAGUAGCGGUAUGGCAGCAAACAAAAAGUUUCCUCAAUAGAGUAUUGAGUUUUUAAAACAUCUGAAAGAACCGUGAAAUUUGCAGGUGAAAUCCUGCAUGUGCUUUGACCGCGGCAAGAAGCAUAGGGUCGCUCCCGAAAGCUCAGACUUGUCGUCACAUUGGUUGAAUAUGAUUGCAUCGUCGAUGAAUAAGGGGAAGCCCUAAUCAUGUUUAUUUUGGAGU